rnacentral:rRNA from 1 species
UAGGCUUGACAUCCCUUGGAAUUUUGUGGAAACACAAAAGUGCCUUUCGGGGAACCAGGAGACAGGUGCUGCAUGGCUGUCGUCAGCUCGUGUCGUGAGAUGUUGGGUUAAGUCCCGCAACGAGCGCAACCCUUAUCUUUAAUUGCCAGCAUUCAGUUGGGCACUUUAAAGAGACUGCCGGUGUUAAACCGGAGGAAGUGGGAUGACGUCAAGUCAGCAUGGCCUUUAUGUCCUGGGCUACACACACGCUACAAUGGCCAACACAAUAGGUUGCUAAGCCGCGAGGUGGAGCCAAUCCUCAAAGUUGGUCUCAGUUCAGAUUGCAGGCUGCAACCCGCCUGCAUGAAGAUGGAGUUGCUAGUAACCGCAGGUCAGCUAUACUGCGGUGAAUACGGUUCCCGGGCUU